rnacentral:rRNA from 1 species
UAGGGAAUAUUGCAAAAUGGGCGAAAGCCCGAUGCAGCAACGCCGCGUGGGCGAUGAAGGCCCUCGGGUCGUAAAGCCCUUUUUGAGGGGAUGAGGAAGGACAGUACCCUCAGAAUAAGCCUCGGCUAACUACGUGCCAGCAGCCGCGGUAAAACGUAGGAGGCGAGCGUUAUCCGGAUUUACUGGGCGUAAAGCGCGUGCAGGCGGAUUGGAGAGUUGGAUGUGAAAGCUCUCGGCUUAACUGGGAGAGGUCGUUCAAUACUUCCAGUCUUGAGUGCAGUAGAGGGAAGUGGAAUUCCGGGUGUAGUGGUGAAAUGCGUAGAUAUCCGGAGGAACACCAGUGGCGAAAGCGGCUUCCUGGACUGUAACUGACGCUCAGACGCGAAAGCUAGGGUAGCAAACG